GGGGAUAUAGCUCUGUGGUAGAGUGCUUGCAUGGCAUGCAUGAAACCCUGGGUUCAAUUCCUGGCACCA
rfam:Ictidomys tridecemlineatus contig025889, whole genome shotgun sequence.